GGUAACUUACUGCUUUAUAAAGUAUAGCUAUAUUGGCACCAACAAUGCACAAACAAAUAAUUUAUUUCAGGAUUAAAAACGUUUUUGUAGUCGAAUGGAUCGCCAAGAGCCACCAGAGAAGAAAUUUGUCCAGCACUGUAGCCCUUUAGCCCUUGACAGCAGUUCCUGUUGCUGUUUUCAAAAAAAUAAAGUGGGAAGCUAGUAAAGAAUCCUGUAAGCUGCGGACUCCCUGAGUCCAACUAUUCCGACUUGAGUCCAGCUGCUAUUUGAUCCUCAAGUUGAAACAGGACAAUCUUGUUGGAGGUCUCAGAAGGACUUGUCCAAGGUUCCAUCCACUUGUACCAAUCAUUCUGGGUUUACACAGUGUAAAGACAAGCCAAUGCUCACCUUGGUCUUUGAGAGAUGCUCAAAUAAAACCCUUAGGUGCCAAAGAUGAUCUGCAGGGUGGGAUCAUCUCUUGAAAGUUGGUGUCCUUUUGCAGUCAAACACCCAAACUACCUGGACUCCACUAUCAUAUCCGGGACGUCUGUUUUGACGAUGCUGUGCUGAGAGUUGAAGUAGACCAUGGAGAGAGGCCGACGCUCAGUAGGGACACAACAUGAAGACGCAGCAGUGUUGAUGCCGUUGACUUUCAGCUGGCUGAAGACAGUGGCAUGGAAUGAGGAUGCUAUACCAGCACACGGUGACAUCGUCCCCACAACGCAGCGAGCGCUUCCUGAUUGAGUGCUUGGAGUGAUCUUCACGGAGACGCACCUGAGCCACCAUGAAGGGCUGGUUGGCUGUUUCAGCUGAGCCUUCCAGGUGCGGUUAGAGCUGGAUGCCCCACCUUCUGCAGUGAGGAAAACUCGGGCAAGGAGGCGGGAGUCUCGGUUUGGGUCCCCAGAGGAGCGGGCGUAGAUCCACAGAGAAGACUGGAGGACUUGGAUACUCUGACCACGUUCCUGCAGGAACUGGAAGGUGCAACUUGUCCAGAAGUUGCUGCUUGGCAAUCUCGAUCAUCAUCCUCUGCUCUGCGUCUUUUUCCAUCGAGGACAAGCCACAGGACGCGCAGCCCGGGGAGCCACUGACGCAGAGACCCUUCAACAAAAAAGGUGCCAAAAAGAGAAAAACUGGGACCGAAAAAGACGGCGUCAUUCUAGCCUCUGAAGUAGUAAACUGCAUUUUUGUUCUCAUCGUGCGUAAAAAGAACAAAUAAAAGUCUUCAAAUGUC